UAAUUAUGACGGUUUAGACUGAUUAUGCCAGAAAUUAUUAUACUUUCAAAACACUGACCUCGCUGAAAUUGUGUAAUUCGCGCGCACCGAAUCACAAAGUAGACUAGCUGAGGCAAUCCAGCGUCAUUUCACCGCUGAUUCAUUUGUCACCUAACGUUAAUUCUCAAGAACUUCAGAUAAAAAUGUGACAUUGAAGAGUUUACCGUAUCUAAAGUCACUCUUUCAGUUGUGUCGUGAAGACAGGAAAAUGUCAACGUGAGCAAAACAACCUGGAAGUUGAAACGCGGGAGACCAACAAGACAUCUCUCAUCAAUUUUACCCGCAAGACAGGCAGCGAAAGCUUCACAACCCUGUCUUGCGUGUCUGGGAUACAGGAACGAGAAUGGACAUGACUCUACAUUUCCCAGACCUAAUUCAGUAUGGAAAUAAACAUGGAGUUGCAGGAUGGAUGUGAUAUUUGGCAAAUGAGCAAGGUAAACUGGAUUGUCUUGGAAGGCACUACCCAGACCUAAUUAAUUACAGAAGUAAAGGUGGAGUUGGAGGAUGGAUGCCAGAGGAAUUGUCUAAGGAGUAAGAACCAGAGCAAGCCAUCCCGUCCACUGUGUGGUGUCAUAGUCUUCUUCUCCACCUCCUUUGCUCUUCUGUUCCUUCUCUCUGCAUUUCCCUCCCUCCGAUGGAUCAGGCCGCCCCGGUGCGCCACCAGACCAAAAAGCAAAAAGGGCAAGAAAUUUGUCA